GCAAACUUGGUCAUUUAGAGGAAGUAAAAGUCGUAACAAGGUCUCCGUUGGUGAACCAGCGGAGGGAUCAUUACCGAGUUUACAACUCCCAAACCCCAAUGUGAACGUUACCAAACUGUUGCCUCGGCGGGAUCACGCCCCGGGCGCGUCGCAGCCCCGGAUCCAAGGCGCCCGCCGGAGGACCAAACCGAAACUCCUUAUUUAUCAGUCCCCUCGCGGGAUGUCUUCUGAACAAACCUCGGGCGCCCCUAGCGGGCGUUUCGAAAAUGAAUCAAAACUUUCAACAACGGAUCUCUUGGUUCUGGCAUCGAUGAAGAACGCAGC
rnacentral:misc_RNA from 1 species